ensembl:snRNA U4 U4 spliceosomal RNA
AGCUUUGCGCAGUGGCAGUAUCAUAGCCAAUGAGGUUUAUCCGAGGCACGAUUAUUGCUGAUUGAAAACUUUUCCCCAUACCCUGCCAUGACGACUUGACAGGUAAAGAAUAUGAUAAAACAAUAAUGAAUUAAUUG